GGCUCAGGAUGAACGCUGGCGGCGUGCUUAAUACAUGCAAGUCGAACGAGAAGCCCAAGCUUGCUUGGGUAGACAGUGGCGAAUGGGUGCGUAACACGUAGGUGACCUGCCCUCAAGCGGGGGAUAACGGUUCGAAAGGACCGCUAAUACCGUAUGUGGUCGUACGGUCGGACGUACGACUAAACUGCGCGCAAGCGAGGGGCUUGAGGAGGGGCCUGCGGCCCAUCAGCUGGUUGGUGAGGUAACGGCUCACCAAGGCAACGACGGGUAGGGGGCCUGAGAGGGUGACCCCCCACACUGGCACUGACACACGGGCCAGACUCCUACGGGAGGCAGCAGUAAGGAAUAUUGCGCAAUGGGCGAAAGCCUGACGCAGCAACGCCGCGUGAGCGAUGAAGGCCUUCGGGUCGUAAAGCUCUUUUCCCAGGGAUGAGGAAGGACAGUACCUGGGGAAUAAGUCACGGCUAACUACGUGCCAGCAGCCGCGGUAAAACGUAGGUGGCAAGCGUUAUCCGGAUUCACUGGGCGUAAAGCGCACGCAGGCGGCUCUGUAGGUAGGGCAUGAAAUCUCCUGGCUUAACUGGGAGAGGUUGUCCUAUACCGCGGGGCUUGAGGAUGGGAGAGGGAAGUGGAAUUGCCGGUGUAGUGGUGAAAUGCGUAGAGAUCGGCAGGAACACCAGUGGCGAAGGCGGCUUCCUGGCCCAUUCCUGACGCUCAAGUGCGAAAGCUAGGGGAGCGAACGGGAUUAGAAACCCUGGUAGUCCUAGCCGUAAACGAUGUGCACUAGGUGUCGGGGGUAUUGACCCCCUCGGUGCCGAAGCCAACGCGUUAAGUGCACC
rnacentral:rRNA from 1 species